GCACCAUUUGUCUUCUGCAGCAUUCAUAACCUAUAGCUCAAACCCUAACCAUUCAACUUUAUCAUAUCACUCCAGCGAACGACGAUGUCUCACUUCGGCAGAACAGGCCCUCCGGACAUCAAAGAUACCUUCUCUCUUCUCGUUCUCAACGUUACUUUCCGUACCACCGCUGAUGACUUGUUUCCUUUAUUCGAUAAGUAUGGAAAAGUCGUCGAUGUCUUUAUCCCUAGAGACCGAAGGACUGGAGAUUCUAGGGGUUUUGCAUUUGUACGCUACAAGUAUCAGGAUGAGGCUCAAAAGGCAGUGGAAAAGCUUGAUGGAAGAGUUGUAGAUGGUCGAGAAAUAAUGGUUCAAUUUGCAAAGUACGGCCCAAAUGCUGAGAGAAUUGACAAAGGUAGAAUUUUGGAGCCUGUACAAAAUACAAGAGGAAGGUCAAGAAGCCACAGUCCUAGAUCAAGGCAUCGUGAUCAUUAUAGGGACAAGGAUUCUAAAAGGAGAAGCCGAAGUAGAAGUAGGGACAGAUAUGACCGUGAUAGGUACCGUGGGAGAGACAAGGAUUACCGUCGUCGGAGCAGAAGCCGCAGCCCAGAUUACCGCAAAGAUCGCGAGAGAGGUAAAUAUGAUGAGGAGAGGCGCAGCCGAAGCCGGUCUCAUAGAAGUGUGUCCCCUGCUCGCCGUAGCCUCAGUCCUCGGAGGAGCCCUUCUCCACGUAGAACAACCCCUUCUAGGGAUGCUAGUCCAGAUGGACGUAAUCACAAAGACCGGUCUCCAACUCCAAAGAGUGUCUCACCGCGGGGUAGACGUGGUGGUUCUCGCAGCCCCUUGCCGCAUUCUGAUGCUGAUGAUUAAGGAGCAAAGGAGAAGGCCACGAAUGUAAUCUGGUUUAGGUCGCUGUUGCGUAUCAAGAGUACAUUCCCAAAUGAAGGAUCCUUUCAUCUAUUUUCUGCUUGCUAGAACUGAUUGGCCCGACUUAUUUAUAAGUAUACUUGCAUGGAAUAUUGUGAUAGUAUACCUUGAUGAUGGAAAUUAUUGGCCUUCUAUAGUUGGGUCCCUGAAAAAUCAAUGUGGCUGAAUUGCAAGAUGAUACAGCAGCUGUUGAUGCUGUUAUAUUUGCUGUUGGUUGUAAUUUUGUUGCUGGUCACAAACUACCAUUUCUUCGCUGAAUGGCAAGGAGAUGCUGCAGCUGUAGAUGCUGUUUUAACUUGGCUGAUUAUAAUUUGUUGCUGGUGACAUACUACUAUUUGUUGGUUGAGUGGCAAGCAUAUGCAGCAGCUGUUGAUGCUGUUUUAGCUUUGCUGUUGUAAUUUUGUUGCUGGUGACAAAUUAUCGGGUUCUAUACAAAUGUUCAGGAUGCUCAUGAUCGCGCAUGAGUUCAUGCCCGUGAAGUUCUAGCUGAUCUCUGUAGAUCUUUUGUUGCUGUUAGCUGAUAGCCUAUCGAACUGAUGCUGCUUUUUGGUGUUGAUGGUCUGCUUGAUGUGUUCAGUUGGACCCUCUGCAUGUUGUUCAUGCUCCUUCUGCAGGAGCUUAAGUUGUGUGUUUAUGUUGUGCUGAGUCACCUCAGAUAUACACCAUCUGCGUCUCUUAUUGGUUAUUUUUUAGUGGAACAUGUGCACAUUGCCGAUUUGGAGAUCUGAUGGUUUCCUGUGAGAAUGUUAAUCUUAUCAAAACUUAACCUUCUUUUACUCCGUCUGCUAGUGGCUUGAUGCAUGUAUCUCAUUAUCUUCAUAUUGGCAAGUGUGUAUAGAAAUCACAGUAGAAUGUACCAAUGGCAUUUAGAGGUGGAAUUAGGGCUUUUGAUCUCCUUUUAAGUGAGGUUAUGGGAUAGCGGCUAGGGUAUUUCAUUACAAUAGUCGAGUGUGAUACCCUUUGUCAAUUAGGGUUCUAAUAUGGUGGUGUUUUAGAACUCUGGUUGAUUGAUGUAGUGGGGUAAAUUACUGUGUUAGGGUACUCUCUCCCUAGGAAUUUGUGCUCUUCCAUAGGGCUUCGGAAUGGUAUGUGCUUACCAUAUUGGACAAGUACUCUUUGCUAGAUGGCUAUGGAUUUGACUAGCUUGAUGAGCAAGUUUGGGAAGGUAACAUGAUACUGCUUUGGGAGCAUUUGAUUUUUCCUGUUACGGGGAAUACUUUGCAGGAUUGGCUCUUUCUGUUUGGCUAAUAAGGCAGUAAUAUGUUCAAAAGCAAAGUUGUUGAUGGCCAUGUCAUAUAUAUUUGCCUUCCUGUUGCCGUUGAUAAAAGUUUUACGUUGCUCUACGAAGAAUAAUCCUUCAAUUUCAUUCUGUAUUGACGAACCAAUGGAGAUUCUUGCCAAGGCUUCUGUCAGCUUUCCACGCCAUGGAGAGUUGACAUUUAUUAUUCUUUUCUUCAGUCCUUUUAAAACAAAUUGUGAUCGGAUGAUAAUAGACAUUUACAAGCAAUUGAACAAUUCUCCUUACAGAA